rnacentral:rRNA from 1 species
GAUGAACGCUGGCGGCGUGCUUAACCCAUGCAAGUCGAACGAUGAAGCCCAGCUUGCUGGGUGGAUUAGUGGCGAACGGGUGAGUAACACGUGAGUAACCUGCCCUUAACUCUGGGAUAAGCCUGGGAAACGGGGUCUACUACUGGUUAGGAGCGCCUACUGCACGGUGGGUGUUGGAAAGAUUUAUCGGGUUUGGAUGGACUCGCGGCCUAUCAGCUUGUUGGUGAGGUAAUGGCUCACCAGGGCGACGACGGGUGGCCGGCCUGAGAGGGUGACCGGCCACACUGGGACUGAGACACGGGCCAGACUCCUACGGGCGGCAGCAGUGGGGAAUAUUGCACAAUGGGCGAAAGCCUGAUGCAGCGACGCCGCGUGGGGGAUGACGGCCUUCCGGUUGUAAACCUCUUUCAGCAGGGAAGAAGCGAAAGUGACGGUACCUGCAGAAGAAGCAACGGCUAACUACGUG